GUGGGGAAUAUUCCGCAAUGGACGAAAGUCUGACGGAGCAACGCCGCGUGAGUGAUGAAGGUUUUCGGACUGUAAAGCUCUGUUGUUUGGGACGAAAGUGCCUGUUGCGAACAGUUACGGGUAUUGACGGUACUAAACGAGGAAGCCACGGCUAACUACGUGCCAGCAGCCGCGGUAAUACGUAGGUGGCAAGCGUUGUCCGGAAUUAUUGGGCGUAAAGAGCAUGUAGGCGGGAAUCUAAGUCUGUUGUGAAAAUGCGGGGCUCAACCCCGUAUUGCGAUGGAAACUGGGUUUCUUGAGUGCAGGAGAGGAAAGGGGAAUUCCCAGUGUAGCGGUGAAAUGCGUAGAUAUUGGGAGGAACACCAGUGGCGAAGGCGCCUUUCUGGACUGUGUCUGACGCUGAGAUGCGAAAGCCAGGGUAGCGAACGGGAUUAGAAACCCGUGUAGUCC
rnacentral:rRNA from 1 species